GACGAACGCUGGCGGCGUGCCUAAUACAUGCAAGUCGAACGAAGCUGUUUUAACUGGUGCUUGCACCGACUUAAACAACUGAGUGGCGAACGGGUGAGUAACACGUGGGUAACCUGCCCCAAAGCGGGGGAUAACAUUUGGAAACAGAUGUUAAUACCGCAUAAUCACAGAAACCACAUGGUUUCUGUUUCAAAGGUGGUUUCGGCUAUCACUUUGGGAUGGACCCGCGGGGUAUUAGGUAGUUGGUAAGGUAAUGGCUUACCAAGGCAAUGAGACGUAGCCGAACUGAGAGGUUGAUCGGCCACAUUGGGACUGAGACACGGCCCAAACUCCUACGGGAGGCAGCAGUAGGGAAUCUUCCACAAUGGACGAAAGUCUGAUGGAGCAACGCCGCGUGAGUGAAGAAGGUUUUCGGAUCGUAAAACUCUGUUGUCAGAGAAGAACGUGUGCGAGAGUAACUGUUCGUGCAGUGACGGUAUCUGGCCAGAAAGCCACGGCUAACUACGUGCCAGCCGCCGCAGUAA
rnacentral:rRNA from 1 species